CCGCGUGAGGGAUGACGGCCUUCGGGUUGUAAACCUCUUUCAGUAGGGAAGAAGCGAAAGUGACGGUACCUGCAGAAGAAGCGCCGGCUAACUACGUGCCAGCAGCCGCGGUAAUACGUAGGGCGCAAGCGUUAUCCGGAAUUAUUGGGCGUAAAGAGCUCGUAGGCGGUUUGUCGCGUCUGCCGUGAAAGUCCGGGGCUCAACUCCGGAUCUGCGGUGGGUACGGGCAGACUAGAGUGAUGUAGGGGAGACUGGAAUUCACGGUGUAGCGGUGAAAUGCGCAGAUAUCAGGAGGAACACCGAUGGCGAAGGCAGGUCUCUGGGCAUUAACUGACGCUGAGGAGCGAAAGCAUGGGGAGCGAAAAGGAUUAGAUACCCUGGUAGUCCAUGCCGUAAACGUUGGGCACUAGGUGUGGGGGGACAUUCCACGUUUUCCGCGCCGUAGCUAACGCAUUAAGUGCCCCGCCUGGGGAGUACGGCCGCAAGGCUAAAACUC
rnacentral:rRNA from 1 species